GGUAUAAUAUCUCAGUGGUAGAGCACAUGCUUGGCAUGCAUGAUGUCCUGGGUUCCAUUCCCAGUACCU
rnacentral:tRNA from 1 species